CUAAAAUACUGCUUGUUGAUAUACUUGUAUGCACUCGUAACCAUUAAUAUAUCCCUCCUGGGGGUGAAAAAGCAGAUUAAACCAAGAUAAAUCCCAAGGUAGUUUGCUGGUCUUAACUGAUUUAAGCUGUUUUUGAUGGUCUCCCAACCUCCCCAGCUGACAAAUGCCCCAAACCUCUCUAAAACCAUCUCAACAGACCAGUCUAACCAGCUUUACCAGGCUACAAGAGCCACUAACAACCUUAGCUAAGGCUGGUUUAAAGGUGCACUCAUUUAAAAAGUUUUACUUCUAAACAAAUUAAUUUUGAAGCACAUGUUAAAAUAAUGAGCACUAACAUUAGAUAAAGACUCCAGUCAGAUCUGUAACCAUAUAAAAGCUUCUUUAUUCUACAUGGAGAGGGUCCUCUCAUGGGGGCGGCCAUGUUUGGAUCACAUGAUUUGCCGAAUACUACUCGCUUAAGGCCUCGAUAUACUUCCGGAGAAGUUCUUCUUCGUUCAGGGGUAAAAAGAUGUUUUAAACAGCCGAGCAACGGUAUACUGUUUAUGAACAUUCAGACACAGGCCACACCGCUGUGAGAGGUGUAUAGAGGAGCAUUUAAAUAUGAGGAUGCUACAUGUAAAACCUUCACUGAUAUGACAAUAAAAUGAGGUAUCAAUGACUUUAUGCCUCAUUCAAUGUGAGAAUUCAUAUGAGGUCAGUAAAAGAAGCUGUUUUAACCACUCGAUGAUGAUUUAAAGUAAUAUAUAUGCAAUACAAAAUGUUUAAAUUGUCUUGUUUACAUUGUGAAUUCAUGACACUAAUGCGCUAACAUGCUAUACACAGCCGUAAUAUGCACCAGUUUCACUGUGCUAUUGUAAUUUAUGAUAACACUGAUACUACAGCAAAGACCAUGUAUAAAAGAGUGUUAAUAUUCAGAAUACAGACAAAAGAAUGAUGAUAGAGGCGUAUCUUACUUUGGGCAGAUGUGUGAAUGGCUUUCGCUGCAGAUGGCACAGAGUAAAUGGGCAAUUGAGAGUAUUUGAGUAGAUUUGAUUCCUUUUGUAGACUAAUUAAACAAAACAAAAAAUAGCAUGACAUGUUCUUGGAAAAUGUCACUAUGCAAACGCUCAUACUGAUGUAGGUAAAUUUGCAUGCUAAUAACUCCGCACGCCGGUGUUUUCAUGUUGAAUACUGACUGGACAAUGUAAACAAAGUAGUAGGUGGAGCUUCAGGUCACACCUACCGAUGACAUGGAUCACUGGUAUCAAGAGGGUGUUUAGUAGCCGGUUAAAAGUUUUCCUAAAAGUUCGCCCAGGCAAGCUGUUACAAACCACUGAAACGAACGCAAAAACACAGACAGAUUUUGUUCUAAAUGACGUCAUACCCAUUCGUUUUUCGAUUUCGUAUGAAGUAUAUCGGGGCCUUUAAUCUCAGUAACCAGCCUGUUAUUGGACACUUUCACGCAUGGAUUAAAUUAAUCAUGGCUGACAGUGAAAAGUGAAUUUCUACAUUGGCAUCUGAACCUAAAAACUAUUGAUUUUGAAGGAUGCAUCCACAACACUAGGUGUCAGUGUAACCAGUCCUGCUCGACCCGCUCCGAACUGGAUUCGAACUGAGGUCUCUUGCAUGGAAGGUGGGCGCGAUAACAAGUAGGCUAAAGGCUACAACCUCUAACAUCAGUUGCUAGUGCACCUCUUGAGGCCAGGGGAGUGAGGUUUACACACUGCACAGCUACCUACCAGCUGGCUCCCGUUACACUCAACCCCCUAAACCUCACUCCCAUCUGGGUGAUGGCACCACUGUACCACCAAUGCUGCUCAACCCACUCUGAGCGAGAUUCGAACUGGGGUCUCCUGCAUGGGAGGCUUGCGAGCUAACAAGGAGGCUAAAGGUUGCAGCCUCUAGCGUCAGACACUAGUGCGCCUCUUGAGGCCAGAGGAGUGAGGUUUAAACACUGCACAGCUACCUACCAGCUGGCUCCCGUAACACUCAACCCCUUGAACCUCACUCCAAUCCAGGUCACGGCACCACUGUACCACCAAUGCUGCUUGAUCCGCUCUGAACGAGAUUCGAACCAGGGUCUCCUGCAUGGGAGGCGGGCAAGCUAACAAGGAGGCUAAAGGUUGCAGCCUCUAACGUCACUCGCUAGUGCGCCUCUUGAGGCCAGAGGAGUGAGGUUUACACACUGCACAGCUACCUACCAUAACACUCAACCCCCUAAACCUUACUCCCAUCCGGGUCAUGGCACCACUGUACCACCAAUGCUGCUUGACCUGCUCUGAACAAGAUUCGAACUGGGGUCUCUUGCAUGGGAGGCAGGCGAGCUAACAAGGAGGCUAAAGGUUGCAGCCUCUAGCAUCACUCGCUAGUUCGCCUCUUGACGCCAGAGGAGUGAGGUUUACACACUGCACAGCUACCUACCAGCUGGCUCCUAUUACAUUAGUAAGCCAAAUGAAGAUUUUUAGAAGAAUAUCUCAGCUCUGCAGGUCCAUACAAUGCAAGUGAAUGGUGAUCAGGCCUUUGAAGCUCCAAAAAGGAGAUAAAGUCAGCAUAAACAUAAUCCAUAAGACUCCAGUGGUUUAAUCAAUCUUCUGAAGCGAUACAGUCGAUUUUGGCCGCCAUAUUUGUGACCAUCAGCGGGAGGAAACAAUGGCGAUGAAUGGAAAAACACCCGUAAAACGAUAUCAAGAAAACCCUCAAAAAUCGCUUUUGAUCCAUGCCAAGUCCCAGGAAAGGUGUAUACAGGUCUGAGGUCAGCACAAAUAUUGGCAAAUUUGACUUUCGUAGACAUUUAAAUAUAUUUCAUCCAUGAUUUACCUCCGUACACGGGCGAGUCUGUUGUGACCGGCGAGUACACGCCUACCGGUACAUCACAUUAAAUAUAUACUAUAUAUUCACAUUAUAGUGCUUUUUCAUUCAUUACAAUGCGUUACAAUUAUCACAUACCUUUAUACAGUCUGGGUGUUAUGUCUAUGUGCAUUUCCAGUUUAAUUGUAUCCAAAUCGAUGAUAUUAUAAAUAUAAUUGACAAGUGCACAGAUAACUGACAUGUCUGAAUAAAUGAGCAAAGACCCACAAGAGUUUUAUCCGUGCUCUCCCCCUUCAUCGCUGCUUGACUUUCAAGUGGCACGGUGAAAUGAAGCCGUGCCACUUGAAAGAUAAAACUUUCAUUGGAAUUAAAAUUACAUUUUGGCUCUGGUAAUUAAACAGCAGUAUCACCUUUUCAACAUUUAUAAAUAGAAACAAAAAUUUAGCCGCAUCCCACAGCGCCUGUACAUGUAGUUGACUGAUGUUAAUGAAUCCAGCAUUAUUUUGAAGCAUUUCUUAAAAAAUCCUCAGAUGUUUUUCUUCACAUAAAUUUGUCCUAAAUAAAAUUAAAUAAAAAAAAAUUCGCCAUUGUAUUUUACCCUCACUUUAAAGAGUUAACAAUGAGUUGUAAAGGUGAAAUGUGGCGCUUCUAGUGUCACUGUCUAUAACUGUUUUCAAACAGGUUUUCUGAACUGCUAUCAGUUCAACAAUGGUGCCGUGUCAGGCUGCUUAUACAAACAGAGCCACACAAUUACACUUUAGGUUAAAUCAACCUACAAAUGUCUUUCUUACAGUUGUCUCUAAACUGGGAUACUAGAAAGUAUUUUAAUAUUGACAAAUUUUCACACAUCAGCUUUAAGGAUUAUUCUCAACACCAAUUCAACAUAAAAUGGAAAUGGAAAGAAAACUCUCUGCCUUUUAUCACUAUUCAACUAACAACUUAAAGUUCAACGACUUGUGACCUAUUUAUAAAGCCGCCCAUGUUUCUCAGCGCUCAGAGAGGAAGCAGGCGUGCAGAAGUUGUGCUGAAUCCAUGUGGAUGUGAGAGGGGCAGGAAAAGAGAGCUUGUGUAAUUGAACGGACAGUUCAGCAGAACUGCAGUUGAGAGGGAAAGGUCAGCGCCAGCCGGCUCUACUGGGUGGACCGGGAGGAAAAACCUUCACUGCCAGAAUUCCUGUAAUCUUCACUGACCAUCACACGGCAGAGUCGCCUCCCGUCGUGGCCUUUCACCUUUUCCCUAAAUCAACCUGUUUCCUGCUCAAACAUUCACACGCUAGCUCAUCUUUAGAGUUUCUGGUGGAGAGCACGCUCGGUUUGAGAGCAAUUACCUGUGGUUUGGUAAGUGUACGAGCCCAUUUGGGAAAUGGAAAGAGAGCACAUGGAAAGAAAUUGUUCAGGAUUGUUAGAGGGACGGUUCACCCAAAAGUGAAAAUUCUCUCAUCAUUUACUCACCCUCAUGUGAUCCCUGAUGUGUAUGACUUUCUUUCUUCUGCAGAACACAAAUGAAGAUAUUUAGAAGAAUAUCUCAUCUCUGUAAGUCCAUACAAUGCAAGUCAACCAGGUCCAGAACUUUGAAGCUCAAAAAAGCACAUCAAAGCAGAAUAAAAGUAAUCCAUACGACUCCAGUGGUUUAAUCCAUGUCUUCAGAAGUGAUAUGAGAGGUGUGAGUGAGAAACAGAUCAAUAUUUAGGUCCUUUUUUACUAUAACAUUAAAUGACAACAUUAAAUUGAACAUAAAUGUAUACUUAAUAUUCACUAAUAAACUAGAAAACACCUUAUUUUAUAUAACUGAAAAGAAAUAUGGUUAUAAAACACUAGCAAUACACUAAAUAUUUCGCUUGAAAUAGACCGCAAAGUCACUUUAAAGCUGUGAAUCAGUAAAUCAUUUAUAUCAACUAGUUCAUUUACAAGCUCAAAAAGCACAUAAAGGCAGCAUAAAAGUAAUCUAUACGACUCUAGUGGUUUAAUCCAUGUCUUCAGAAGUGAUAGGAUAGGAUAUUUAAGUCUUUUUUUUUUACUACAAAUUCUCCUCCCUGCCAGUAGGUGGCGAUAUGCACGAAGAAUAUGAAUCGCUAAAAACAAAAGAACAAGAGGGUGGAGAUUUAUAGUCAAAAAGGACUUAACCCUUCUGUGAACUGUGAUAAUUACAUUAAUUAGAGAACAGCUUUCUGUUAUGACACCUGGCCUGUUUGACAGUUAUGACCCUCUGGAUUU